rnacentral:rRNA from 1 species
AUGAACGCUGGCGGCGUGCCUAAUACAUGCAAGUCGAACGAGUUCUCGUUGAUGAUCGGUGCUUGCACCGAGAUUCAACAUGGAACGAGUGGCGGACGGGUGAGUAACACGUGGGUAACCUGCCCUGAAGUGGGGGAUAACAUUUGGAAACAAAUGCUAAUACCGCAUAAUUAGUUGAAACCACAUAGUUUCAACUUGAAAGAUGGCUCUGCUAUCACUUUAGGAUGGACCCGCGGCGUAUUAGCUAGUUGGUGAGAUAAUAGCCCACCAAGGCGAUGAUACGUAGCCGCCUGAGAGGGUAAUCGGCCACAUUGGGACUGAGACACGGCCCAGACUCCUACGGAGCAGCAGUAGGGAAUCUU